AGAGUACAAAAUAACUAUUUCAAUUUACAAAUCAUUCUCAGUUGAGGGGAUAGAUUAGAAUCCCUUUGUUAGUGCGGCUUUCCUUUCAUGCUGAAUACUGCAUAUAACGUACACUGAAGAGAUGCCACAUACAGGAAGGGCACUGUGCCUAACAUGACGUCCAGGAUGUUGGCAAAAAGCAGUACUGGUCGUCCUACAGUCACUCCCAUGACAUCUGAUGAUGAUGACGCACCGGAAGCAGGUCCAUCAAAAGAAGUCUUGAGCAGCAGAAGGUGGACUUCUGUAACACACCACAAAAUGAAACAUGUUGCAGCAAAAAAAAGCAAGGUCUGAUGUCCAGGGCCAACCACAGCAGGCUACCCCGCCACGAAGAUUAUUGACAGUAUGUUCGGUCCCCCAACUCCAAAUUUUAGACACACCUCCAAGACGCCAACCACACUCCCCUCAUCUUGAUUCUUCUAGUCCUGGUACCAGCAUCCCUACGCAACACCAGCAACACAGUGACAUGGAUGAGACAAUCAUGUUAGAAAUGCAGCCAUUAAGCCAAGGAAUCAGCCCCCCAGCACCUGUGAGUACACCACCACAGCAAAUCACACCACCACCACAACACAACCCAACAACACCAGUAACACAAGGCCCUGAUCAAGUGUUUUGGAACAUUUGGGCUAGACAGCAGGCCACUAAUGAAGAUUGCCUGCAUAGGCAGACACAAAUGUUUGCAAGCCUACCAUCUCACCUCAGAAGAAUCAUCAGAAAUAUGAGUAGACAAAAGGAACAAACCACGAGAAUUGGCAAUACCAUGGAAAUCAUGCGUGCAGACAUUACACAUGUCAUGGGCAACUUACAGCGCAUAAUGGAAGAACAGCACAGACAACAGCAAAGCUAUAUCAACAUUUUAGAAAACAAUCAAAAGAUCAAUGAAUCUAUCUCCAGAAUUGUAGACAAUCAAAAUGCUGCAACACGUGAACUCAAUGCCACCCUCACUAACCUCAAUGAAACACUCAGAUCCCUGCACCAACAGCAACCAAGCAGCAGUUCUGGUACGACUACUCCAAUUAUAACGCCAGUGUCAUCACCACCAAGGCGCUCCACCAGAGCACGCCAACAUGUCAGUGGUAAAGGUAAAGGCCAGGACAAGCUAACACCCAAAAAAAUUAAAAUAUAAACCACAACGAUUUCUUUAAAGAGAAGUAAAAUGGGGGCGUGGCCUGACAGCCAAAGUUACCAGACGUGUUCUGAAUAGGCUCCUGCGAUCCCUCGGUUUUUAAGGGAUUUAUUGCCCCGUUCCUCCCCUCGAGUGGAGCUGUACCCCAUCCAGAUUGUCUCAGGGGACCCUCCUCUACACUGUGGGUCUCCCACUGGCGCAUAUUAGUUGACCCAGCGUGGUCCGCUCACUGCGGCCUAUACUGGCUCCGGAGACAGGGAGUGGAGUGCGCGCGGCAGCCGGCCGGGAGAACCAGGGACGCCGGGUCGCCCUCGAUCUUGGCUCGACACCCUGAGCGGAGGGAACGGAUGACCGCGGUCACAGCAGCCGGGGACGGCGCCUCCGGGAUCCAGAGCAGCGGUGGGAGAGAAGACAGCCAGCGCGACUUCCGGCCUGUGCGCUGCCCGGCGGCCGGGUGACCUCUACCUCUGCAUAGGAGAGCUCCGUGUGCCUCCGUCCCGCGGCCUCAGCCUAACAAGAGCCCUGGACAGCCGGCCACAGCCAGCAGACGGGCAGCGGUGAUUGCUCUGGAGGAGAGGUGAGAGGGGGGCUGUUAUAGCAGUUACAAGUUUACACUACAGUGAGAGCCAUACUCCCCCCCCCAAUCUGCACUCACUGUUCUACAUCUCCCGCACCCCAUUGCUGCAGUGAAGCAUAUAUCUCCAGUGUGGGGACAGAUAUAAGAGAAAACAGCGGUGCACGAUCCCCACGUCGGCCAACGCCUCCAUCUGGUGGUUCUAUUCAGUAGUAUUGGAAGGGACUUUCACCGGAGGUGGACCCCCAGAGUGCCCUAUCUCCUGCAGCCUCUGACUGUCUGGCUCCUCUCCGGUACCACGUGGACCCUCCUCUCUGCCGAAGCUCCCCGGCCCUGUCCGACCCGCCUUGCUCGGCUGGCCACGUCAUGAACCUUCUCUAGAGCCCCCGCCUUACCCCCCUGGUCCUGAGCCUUACUGCUGGAGCGCCUUCUCUACCUCCCACCCUGCUGUUCACCCCCUUUCUCGUAUAUUCACGAUGCCCAGGGGCGGCAAAAAGUCACAGGGUUCCGACCUUACACCAUUCCUUACUAAAAAGAGCACCCCGGCCAAGAGCAGGCCCGAUGCUCCUGAACCCCCCCAUGGUCCCUCUGAUUCUGAGGCCGAAGACGACGAUCUCACACCCCUUACCCGCAGGGACUUAAGGAGAUGCGGGAUUUUAAAACCUCUGUCCAGGCUCUCCACUCCCUGAAAUCCGAUAUUGCCGACAUUGGCUCCAGAACGGAUCAACUUGAACGACGAGUGGAAGAGGUGGUGUCGUUCCAACAAGCGGUCGAGACCGACUUCCAUCAACUCCGCCAAGAUGUUUCCCAACUGCGGGAGGAGCAUGAGGACCAGGACAAUAGGGCGAUGAGAAAUAACCUGAGGAUUCGGGGCAUUCCUGAGGAGGUCGAAGCGGCCCACCUUGAUCUUUACCUUAAGCGCCUCUUUGCCCACCUAUCACCUGACACCCCUGAGGAACAUCUUCCCCUGUAUCGUGCGCAUCGAGCCCUCCGACCUCGCUCCCAGGACUCCUCCCAGACCAGGGAUGUCAUCCUCCAACUGCACUACUUCACUGCGAAAGAGGCCAUUAUGAGAGAAGCCCUACGGCUGGGGUCUGUGACUUUCCAGAAUGCCCCCCUGCAGAUCUUCCAGGACUUAUCCCCGCUCACCCUGGCCAAACGUAGAGACUUUAAACCCGUCACUUCUCUGCUCUCCCGUCCAGUGGCGGAACUAGCGAGCGGUGGGCCCAGGUGCGACAAAAUGCUUUGGGCCCACCCCCACACAUCCCAUCCAAGUCCACCCCCUCACCCCUGGAGAGGAUCUGGUGAGGGGGACCUGCUCAGGGCCAGAGAAAUAGAUACCUAGCAACAGUGCCGUAACUAGACAUUUUAGCACUGUGUGCAAGAAACGGCAUUGGAGCCCCACCCCUGCAUGCUAAACAGGGGCAGUGCGCGCCAUAGGCGCGCGCAAAAAUACAUAGUGGCGUGGCUUCGUGGGGAAGGGGUGUGGCCACAAAAUAAUACCAAUUCAUAAAACGGUACACAGUAGUCUCCAUUAUUCAAAUUACGCCGCACAGUAGCACCACUACACCAGGUAGAGACCCUUUUACACCUUACAGCGGACAGAUUCCUCUUUUUACACAU